CAAAGAACAUCUCCUAGCAUUCAUCUUCAGGACCACUGAAGAAAUAAAGCCCUAGAAGGAACAAUGGGUACACCUUGCCCAGGUUUGGCUUGAAAGAGAACUAUUUUCUGGAAGAAAACACAAGAUUACCUAUAACUAUUUCUGCUUUGGGGACACCUGCUCUGUGCCAAGGCCUCUGAAUUUCUUGAAUUCUUCUGAGACCAAAAGAAGAAUAAAUCAAAGAAGAACUCUUACAUUGGUCCUAGGCAAUGACAGCAGAGAACGAAUAAUUCCCGAUGCGGUGUCUUCCAUCAGUUAAAGGGACUUGAAAAGGGGAACGAAGAACAACUGUGAAGUGUCCCUGUCUCAUGACCCUGUCAUAUUCUCAGGGAAACGAACAUGUGGAAGGCUGCAGGACAUCCCAGCAAAAGAGGCGAAAAGCUCCUGACUCUUGGGAAGAACGCUGCCC
rnacentral:lncRNA from 1 species